AUGGCCUCCAAACAGACGGCUCCGAUUAUGAAUCAAGGACAAGGGGAAACUAGCUAUGCUCACAACUCUAGUAUUCAGAACGCUGAGCAGAACAAGAUGAAAUCCUUGAUUGAAGCGGUCGUCGUUGAAUUAUGCAGCAACACCGGCACCUUGCAGCCUGGGAAGAUGGUAAUCGUGGACUUGGGCUGCUCCACUGGUCCAAACGCGCUUGCACUGGUAUCGAUUGCUGUCGAGGCGAUCCACGCUCACUGUCUUCAGUUCCAGCAACCAUCACCAGAAGUGUCUGUGCUCCUCAAUGAUCUUCCUGAGAACGACUUCAACACGGUGGUGAAGAGCCUAGUCACGCUACGUCAAAGCAACGAUCCUGUUGUUGUGACCGGUAUCACGCCAGGGUCGUUUUAUGAGCGGCUCUUCACUAGUGAAUCUGUGCAUCUUGUUUGCUCGUCCAAUAGCUUGCAUUGGCUCUCAAAGGCUCCAGAAGAUCUUAAAACGAAUCUCAUCCCAGCAUAUGACAUUGAUGAGCAUUCUAGGCAUGAAAGGCUUCCUAUAGUGCUUGAGGCUUAUGCAAAACAAUACAGGAAAGAUUUCACACUUUUUCUGAAGCUGAGAGCCAAAGAGUUGGUCUCAGGAGGCCGAAUGAUUAUUUCGCUGCUAGGGAGGCGUUCUGAUAUAAUCGCCACCAAAUUCCCUUUCCUUCCAGAAAUUGUAGCUCAGAUUCUAUGUGUCAUGGUCUCAGAGGGUGUGAUCGACAAAGAAAAGUUUGAUUCCUUUUAUGGGCUAAUGCAUGAACCUUCGCUUGAAGAGCUGAGAGAGAUCAUCCAAGAAGAGGGCUCCUUUUCAAUCAGGGAGAUGCGGGAGCAUGACCCUAGAACCGAUAUAAAUAAGACUCUCAGCACCCCAGGCAUAUUCGCGGGAUUUCUGAGAUCUUUGUUUGAGCCGGUAAUAGUCCAACAUUUUGGAUAUGUCAUGGAUGAAUUCGUGAGGACCGUGGAGCGGCGGUAUAUCCUAGAGGGAAGCUUGCAAGAGGAGCGCGCCAAAUGCCCUUAUGUUAUGCUGGUCGUAUCCCUCACAAAGGCAUGA
rnacentral:rRNA from 1 species